GACAGAGGAGCCAAGCGUUGUCCGGAUUGACUGGGCGUAAAGCGCACGCAGGCGGCCGUGCACGUGGGGUGUGAAAGCGCUCGGCUUAACUGAGCGAUGCCACCUCAUACGGCAGGGCUCGAGCCCGUGAGAGGUCCACGGAAUUGCCGGUGUAGUGGUGAAAUGCGUAGAGAUCGGCAGGAACACCCAGGGGGAAACCAGUGGGCCGGGCCGGUGCUGACGCGCAGGUGCCAAAGCGUGGGGAGCAAACAGG
rnacentral:rRNA from 1 species